GACGAACGCUGGCGGCGUGCCUAACACAUGCAAGUCGAGCGAAGUAAGUACUACGGUACGAACUUAGCGGCGGACGGGUGAGUAACGCGUGGACAAUCUACCCUGUAGACUGGGAUGACACCUCGAAAGGGGUGCUAAUACCGGAUAAUGUCGAGAAGCGGCCCCGCUUUUCGAAGAAAGGAGAGAAUCCGCUAUAGGAGGAGUCCGCGUCCCAUUAGCUAGUUGGUGAGGGUAACGGCCCACCAAGGCGACGAUGGGUGGCCGGCCUGAGAGGGUGAACGGCCACACUGGAACUGAGACACGGUCCAGACUCCUACGGGAGGCAGCAGUGGGGAAUAUUGUGCAAUGGGGGAAACCCUGACACAGCAACGCCGCGUGAGCGAAGAAGGCCUUCGGGUUGUAAAGCUCAAUAGUAUGGGAAGAUAAUGACGGUACCAUACGAAAGCCCCGGCUAACUACGUGCCAGCCGCCGCGGUAAAAC
rnacentral:rRNA from 1 species